CACGUAGGGGACGAGCGUUGUCCGGAUUCAUUGGGCGUAAAGCGCGCGUAGGCGGCUCGGAAAGUCGGUCGUGAAAUGCCGGGGCUCAACCCCGGGACUGCGUCCGAUACUCUCGAGCUGGAGGCAGGUAGGGGAGAUCGGAAUUCCUGGUGUAGCGGUGAAAUGCGCAGAUAUCAGGAGGAACACCGGUGGCGAAGGCGGAUCUCUGGGCAAUUCCUGACGCUGAGGCGCGAAAGUGUGGGGAGCAAACGGG
rnacentral:rRNA from 1 species